rnacentral:rRNA from 1 species
UACGUAGGGUGCAAGCGUUGUCCGGAAUUAUUGGGCGUAAAGAGCUCGUAGGCGGUCUGUCACGUCGGCUGUGAAAACCCGAGGCUCAACCUCGGGCCUGCAGUCGAUACGGGCAGACUAGAGUUCGGUAGGGGAGACUGGAAUUCCUGGUGUAGCGGUGAAAUGCGCAGAUAUCAGGAGGAACACCGGUGGCGAAGGCAGGUCUCUGGGCCACAACUGACGCUGAGGAGCGAAAGCAUGGGGAGCGAACAGG